rnacentral:rRNA from 1 species
GACGAACGCUGGCGGCGUGCUUAACACAUGCAAGUCGAACGGAAAGGCCCUGCUUUUGUGGGGUGCUCGAGUGGCGAACGGGUGAGUAACAAGUGAGUAACCUGCCCUUGACUUUGGGAUAACUUCAGGAAACUGGGGCUAAUACCCGAUAGGAGCUCCCGCUGCAUGGGGGGGGUUGGAAAGUUUCGGCGGUUGGGGAUGGACUCGCGGCUUAUCAGCUUGUUGGUGGGGUAGUGGCUUACCAAGGCUUUGACGGGUAGCCGGCCUGAGAGGGUGACCGGCCACAUUGGGACUGAGAUACGGCCCAGACUCCUACGGGAGGCAGCAGUGGGGAAUAUUGCACAAUGGGCGGAAGCCUGAUGCAGCAACGCCGCGUGCGGGAUGACGGCCUUCGGGUUGUAAACCGCUUUCGCCUGUGACGAAGCGUGAGUGACGGUAAUGGGUAAAGAAGCACCGGCUAACUACGUG